rnacentral:rRNA from 1 species
GUGGCUUCCGGAGCUAACGCGUUAAGUAGACCGCCUGGGGAGUACGGCCGCAAGGUUAAAACUCAAAUGAAUUGACGGGGGCCCGCACAAGCGGUGGAGCAUGUGGUUUAAUUCGAUGCAACGCGAAGAACCUUACCUGGUCUUGACAUCCACGGAAGUUUUCAGAGAUGAGAAUGUGCCUUCGGGAACCGUGAGACAGGUGCUGCAUGGCUGUCGUCAGCUCGUGUUGUGAAAUGUUGGGUUAAGUCCCGCAACGAGCGCAACCCUUAUCCUUUGUUGCCAGCGAUUCGGUCGGGAACUCAAAGGAGACUGCCAGUGAUAAACUGGAGGAAGGUGGGGAUGACGUCAAGUCAUCAUGGCCCUUACGACCAGGGCUACACACGUGCUACAAUGGCGCAUACAAAGAGAAGCGACCUCGCGAGAGCAAGCGGACCUCAUAAAGUGCGUCGUAGUCCGGAUUGGAGUCUGCAACUCGACUCCAUGAAGUCGGAAUCGCUAGUAAUCGUGGAUCAGAAUGCCACGGUGAAUACGUUCCCGGGCCUUGUACACACCGCCCGUCACACCAUGGGAGUGGGUUGCAAAAGAAGUAGGUAGCUUAACCUUCGGGAGGGCGCUUACCACUUUGUGAUUCAUGACUGGGGUGAAGUCGUAACAAGGUAACCGUAGGGGAACCUGC